UGCUCUUGCCGGACCGGUAGUUUAGUGGUUCGCGCGGUGAUUAGCAAAUUAGCAAAGUCCGAUAGGCACCUGUCGGUGAGCCGUGGGUGUGUUAUGCUUUUCUCCGCGUGAAGAGCUGGCCGUGUGGCUGGCCCGCCACAAUUGCUUUAUCCACCAAGAGAGCGCAGGUUCAGGGCGGCGUCUGGCUGCAGCGUAGCAGCUGGCAACCGCUGUUACCACGAGAACCCCAUGUAACGUUAUGGGGAGGCUAACUUUGCCAGGAGACCCAGUUAAAGUCUCUCAGCCACUGAGGAAGCAAAAACAAGGAGGAAGGAGGAAGGUUGUGCUCAGCAGCAUUCAAGUGUUUGAGCUUGCCUGGGAUGCUAAUUCAUGACUUGUGAAAUAACUUGUGAAAGAAACUACUUAAGCCCAGGGAUGUGUUUUGUCAUGUGAUUUGCUUAUAAGAUCAUCUUUACAUGUUUGUAUUGUUAAAUCAAUAAAAAUAUCAAUCACAAAAA